rnacentral:rRNA from 1 species
UACGGAGGGUGCAAGCGUUGUCCGGAUUUAUUGGGUUUAAAGGGUGCGUAGGUGGGUCUGUAAGUCCGUGGUGAAAUCUCCAAGCUUAACUUGGAAACUGCCAUGGAUACUAUAGGUCUUGAAUACCGUGGAGGUGAGCGGAAUAUGUCAUGUAGCGGUGAAAUGCUUAGAUAUGACAUAGAACACCAAUUGCGAAGGCAGCUCACUACACGAAUAUUGACACUGAGGCACGAAAGCGUGGGGAUCAAACAGG